rnacentral:rRNA from 1 species
UACGAAGGGGGCUAGCGUUGCUCGGAAUCACUGGGCGUAAAGCGCACGUAGGCGGCUUCUUAAGUCAGGGGUGAAAUCCUGGAGCUCAACUCCAGAACUGCCUUUGAUACUGAGAGGCUUGAGUCCGGGAGAGGUGAGUGGAACUGCGAGUGUAGAGGUGAAAUUCGUAGAUAUUCGCAAGAACACCAGUGGCGAAGGCGGCUCACUGGCUCGGUACUGACGCUGAGGUGCGAAAGCGUGGGGAGCAAACAGG